rnacentral:tRNA from 1 species
GGUAGCAUGGCCGAGCGGUCUAAGGCGCUGGUUUAAGGCACCAGUCAUUUCGAUGGCCUGGGUUCGAAUCCCACUGCUGCCA